rnacentral:rRNA from 1 species
UACGAGGGGAGCAAGCGUUGCUCGGAAUCACUGGGCGUAAAGGGUGCGUAGGCGGGUCUUUAAGGCAGGGGUGAAAUCCUGGAGCUCAACUCCAGAACUGCCUUUGAUACUGAGGAUCUUGAGUUCGGGAGAGGUGAGUGGAACUGCGAGUGUAGAGGUGAAAUUCGUAGAUAUUCGCAAGAACACCAGUGGCGAAGGCGGCUCACUGGCCCGAUACUGACGCUGAGGCACGAAAGCGUGGGGAGCAAACAGG